UCGUCGUUAGCUCAGUUGGUAGAGCAGUUGACUUUUAAUCAAUUGGUCGCAGGUUCGAAUCCUGCACGACCCACCA
rnacentral:tRNA from 1 species